GAAGGGGGCUAGCGUUGCUCGGAAUUACUGGGCGUAAAGGGCGCGUAGGCGGACAGUUAAGUUGGGGGUGAAAGCCCGGGGCUCAACCUCGGAAAUGCCUUCAAUACUGGCUGUCUUGAGUACGGGAGAGGUGAGUGGAACUCCGAGUGUAGAGGUGAAAUUCGUAGAUAUUCGGAAGAACACCAGUGGCGAAGGCGACUCACUGGCCCGUUACUGACGCUGAGGCGCGAAAGCGUGGGGAGCAAACAGGAUUAGAUACCCUGGUAGUCCACGCCGUAAACGAUGAGUGCUAGUUGUCGGCAUGCAUGCAUGUCGGUGACGCAGCUAACGCAUUAAGCACUCCGCCUGGGGAGUACGGUCGCAAGAUUA
rnacentral:rRNA from 1 species